rnacentral:lncRNA from 1 species
UUUUUUUUUUUUUCUUUUUUGUUGAAGGGACAUUUCUAGCUAUAUGGAUAAAUAUAGUACCUUGCAAUGAAAUGAACCCCAAGGCAUCAUUCUUGAAGAAAUCAAAAUUAACUUGAAUCCACAAUCUAUUUGCAAAAGUAUGCAAACAUUUGUAUAAACAUGUGUUCGUAUAAACUGCUGUUAAUUAUUAUUACUGUAUGAGUUGGGAAAAGAGCCCAAUUUGCAGUAUUGCACAUUUUUUUAAACCUUUCCCUUUAAGCUUGGCAUAUAUUACACUGUUCUACAUUUGUCUUAAAAAUUGAAAUGGUUGUAGAUUUCUUUCAUCCAAGACCCUUUUGUUUGCAGAUUUUUUUUUUUUUGCAAGUAUGCCUAUUCCCCAGAGUUUACUUACAGUUUCCUAUUGAUCCAGCAGCUGGUAUUUGAAUUGGUCGAUGUACUCUCCAACUUGUUUAAGAUACCCUACCUGAGCUAUUAGUUUAAAUAAUGUAUUCAUAAAUUGAUUAAUCAUUACAGUAAGACUUAUUAGCUGCAUUUAUAUCUGCAUGUUAUCCACAAUUGACUUGUACUCUAAUAAUCGCGCAUGCUUAAGCAGAAGUUGGGCUUUACAUGAGAAUUUAGUAAUUACCGAGGUGGAAAGCACGAGCGUUGGAGUGUCGCAGUCGAGCGGAUGCAGGGCUUUAAAGUGGGGCUCACCGAGCAGAUUGCUGCUUUUACAUUUCCUAGGUAAAACAGACAGCUCUUCCUCCCAGAAUGAAAUCGAGGAUGUGGGCCAAGUGCUCUCGGCCUCGGAGAAGUGAUGGAGUUUGCCAGAGCUCUCCAGGCACCAUGGUUCUGGAAGAUGGGUAGGGGCGGAGGAAGGAGACUAGGGAGGGAUGGUUCCUCUGUGUCCAUUUCCUUAAAAGCUGCAUCCGUGGGGCCACCUAGUCCCGAUUUUGAACUCCUGGGGAAGCGCCUUUUUGAGUUUCUUCACAGGGUUGGGGAGCCCUCAGCAUCUUGCCCCUUCCUUACCCCCACUUGGUUGGAGGGUCAUUUUGCCCCCACCGCAUGAUUUCUCUACUUGAACCCCUGCUCUGCAAACAUUAUUCGAAACCCUGCUGCAUUCGCCUUCUCUGUGUCCUUGGGUAAUGCUGAGGCGGGGGCGGGCGCACCUGUGUCCAGCUGCCUUGAAAGCAUGCCGCCCGAACUGGGAAGGGCACGUGGCCACCAGUGACCAGUGCUGCUACCCGUUUGGGGCGGCACCUUCUCAGGAGUGGGGGUACCGGCUCCAGAGGACAGAGCAGCCUGGCUGGCUGUGUCGCUUCUCCAAGUUGCCUCUCCCAGCGUGGGCUCCAGCCGUUACCAUUUCCGAGAGCAAACCUUGCCUCCACCGCUCCUCGCCGCUCUGACUUUGCCAACCUUAACUCACAACGUACCCGCGGAUCACUUUUCUGCAGAGGCCUAACGGGCUGGCCAGGAAGCCUCAGCAGAUAAAUUAUUUACAGUGUUUAAUUAUCAUCAUAUAGAUUUAUUAAACUUCUUGGUUACCUAGGAACCCAUGUAGCUGCUUCCCAGAGUUUGCUAAACUUUGAAUAAUAGAUGUCUUGUUCGAAGACAAAAUCCCUUUGUCCCUGCAGCUCCCGUCUCCACGAUGCCUGUGUGUGUGUGUGUGUCAUGGGCGGACUUGUUUGUGUGCCGGUAAACGGUUAACAACCGGCUCUUGGGGCGGACGACAAACUCCAGUUUGUAGUGUUUGCUGAUGAGUGCAGUGUAAAUACACACACCAUGGCCAGCAGAAAGGUAGGAAACGGAGUCAGGAUGGAAUGUACAGUCUUCUACUGUUUACGUAUGUUAAAUCUGAGUGUGUGUGAUUAUUUAUAUUAUAUAUGCAAAUACAUGUAUAUGUAAUAUUUCUACCCUGCAUAGUAUAAAUAUAGACAUAUAAAUAGUCUCAAGAGCACAGAUAAUAUACAAUUAUCAUACUAAAAAUCACGUGAAAAUUGUGUAAAUUUUAGUAAAUCUAAUAAAAUUUAGCAAAAAAUGAGAUGUGCACUCCCAUUUCACUGAGUAUAUAUGAAAAAUAUAUAUACUAUUAUGUAUUUAUGUCAUAUAUAUAAGUAUAUAUAUAAUAUUUCCACUAUCCAGACACAGCAUAAAUACAGACGUAUAAAUGACCUCAGAGCAUAGUUCAUUUAAUUUUAAACAUACUAAAAUUAUUCACAAGUACUGGAUUUUGAGUUUCUCUUACCUUUGAUUUUGCUAUAGCUUAUUUUUUAAAUCAAAGCAUAGUCGAUUUACGACGUGUUAAUUUCUGCUGUACAGUGAAAAGUGCAUGUAUUCUUUUUCAUACUCGUUCCCGUCGUGGUUUCUCACAGGGUGCUGAGCGAAGCUCCCUGUGCCGCACAGCAGGGCCUUGUCGUUUAUCCACCUGAUACAUAGUAGUUGGCACCUGCGAGCCCCAAAGUCCGACUUCAUCCUUCCCCCACCUUCCCUUCCCCUUGGCAGCCGCAAGUCCCUUCUCUUCUGUGGCUUAUUUAAUGGUGAGUUUAUUUAAUUGAAUGUUUAAUAACGAGUGUGUUCAUCAACCGGCUCAUAAAAUCCCUGGAAGCGUAGCUCUCUUGCGUUGGUCGGACAGGGCUGCAGCCCAGCACCAUGCUGCCAGCUUCCCGCUGCAUCCUGUGUUCAGAUGCACUUCAUGAUCUGUGACUCACUCAGCCUCACGGCUAACAGGCCAUCUCUGCACAGUUUUCUGCUGGGGUGUGAUGAGCCGGUUGGCUUGCUGCUAAGUGUCCUCGACAGCAAGCAGACGCAUGUACCCUGGCUGGUGCAUCCCAGACAAUUCUGUUGUACUGAUAUUAAGGACAACAGUAUUUUGCCAGAAGCUAUAACGAGAUGAUUCUGUAACAACAGCAUGGUGACACCAGACUCUGUUUUGCAAUUUUCUUUAAUAUUUAUGCUGGAUAAAUAAUUUAUCUCUUUUCUUCUUCUUUUUUUUUUUCAUCUCGGGUGUGUUGAUAUAGACAGGUGCUAGGUUUUCUGAAUGACUAAAGCAAGGAUUUGGUUAUUCCCUACCCCCCCCCCGCCCCCCAAAAAACAGAUGCGUCAGCAGAGUCGAGCCUCUGGGACUUGUCCUGCAUCCCAUCUCCUAAUACGAGCUAAUCAGAUCCUUUAGGAUCAGCCCCACAUUUGAAGGGAGGCACCUACUGAAGUGACAUUUUUGCACGCAUUGUAACAUCAGAACCUUCGUAUGCCAUGGUGUUUGAAAACCCAAAAAGUCACGGCCCCUGUCAGUUGUCUAUUUGGAACUUAGUGUAGAUGUUCCUUCUAGUCCAGGGUUUCUUAACCCGGGAACUGUUGACAUUUGGUGCCAGGUCAUUCUCUGCUGAGGGCUCCGUCCUGUGUAUUAUAGGAUCCUCAGCAGCGUCGCUGGCCCCUGCUUGUCAGAGGCCAGCAGCAACUCCUGGACCCAAGAAGGCAUAAUGAAAAAGUGCAUCCAGGAGUUCCCAUUGUGGCUCAGUGGUUAAUGAACCCAACUAGGAACCAUGAGGUUGUGGGUUUGAUCCCUGGCCUUACUCAGUGGGUUAAGGAUCCAGCGCUGGCGUGAGCUGUGGUGUAGGUUGCAGACGUGGCUGAGAUCCUGCUUUGCUGUGGCUGUGGUGUAGGCCGGCGGCUACAGCUCUGAUUGGACCCCUAGCCUGGGAACCUCCAUAUGCCGCAGGCGUGGCCCUAGAAAAAGACCAAAAAAAAAAAAAAAAAAAAA